rnacentral:tRNA from 1 species
GCCGAAAUAGCUCAGUUGGGAGAGCGUUAGACUGAAGAUCUAAAGGUCCCUGGUUCAAGCCGGGUUUCGGCA